rnacentral:rRNA from 1 species
GACGUGAGGGCGCGAGCGUUGUCCGGAUUUAUUGGGCGUAAAGAGCUCGUAGGCGGCUUGUCGCGUCGUCCGUGAAAACCUGGCGGCUCAACUGCAGGCUGGCGGUCGAUACGGACAGGCUGGAGUUCGGUAGGGGAGACUGGAAUUCCUGGUGUGAGCGGUGAAAUGCGCAGAGUAUCAGGAGGAACACCGGUGGCGAAGGCGGGGUCUCUGGGCCGAUACUGACGCUGAGGAGCGAAAGCGUGGGGAGCGAACAGG